rnacentral:miRNA from 1 species
ACUUAUUAUGGACCGGAGGGA